GACGAACGCUGGCGGCGUGCUUAACACAUGCAAGUCGAACGGAAAGGCCCUGCAUUUGUGGGGUGCUCGAGUGGCGAACGGGUGAGUAACACGUGAGUAACCUGCCCUUGACUUUGGGAUAACUUCAGGAAACUGGGGUUAAUACCGGAUAGGAGCUCCUGCUGCAUGGUGGGGGUUGGAAAGUUUUGGCGGUUGGGGAUGGACUCGCGGCUUAUCAGCUUGUUGGUGGGGUAGUGGCUUACCAAGUGUUUGACGGGUCGCCGGCCUGAGAGGGUGACCGGCCACAUUGGGACUGAGAUACGGCCCAGACUCCUACGGGAGGCAGCGGUGGGGAGUAUUGCACAAUGGGCGGAAGCCUGAGACAGCGGCGCCGCGUGUGGGAUGACGGCCUUCGGGUUGUAAACCGACUACGCCUGUGACGAAGCGUGAGUGACGGUAAUGGGUAAAGAAGCACCGGCUAACUACGUG
rnacentral:rRNA from 1 species